rnacentral:rRNA from 1 species
AGCAGCCGCGGUAAUACCAGCACCUCAAGUGGUCAGGAGGAUUAUUGGGCCUAAAGCAUCCGUAGCCUGUUCUAUAAGUUUGCGGUUAAAUCUAUACGCUUAACGUAUAGGCUGCCGUAAAUACUGUAGAACUAGGGAGUGGGAGAGGUAGACGGUACUCGAUAGGAAGGGGUAAAAUCCUUUGAUCUAUUGAUGACCACCUGUGGCGAAGGCGGUCUACCAGAACACGUUCGACGGUGAGGGAUGAAAGCUGGGGGAGCAAACCGGAUUAGAUACCCGGGUAGUCCCAGCUGUAAACGAUGCAGACUCGAUGAUGCAAUGGCAUAGAGCUAUUGCAGUAUCGCAGGGAAGCCGUUAAGUCUGCCGCCUGGGAAGUACGUACGCAAGUAUGAAACUUAAAGGAAUUGGCGGGGGAGCACCACAAGGGGUGAAGCCUGCGGUUCAAUUGGAGUCAACGCCAGAAAUCUUACCCGGAGAGACAGCAGAAUGAAGGUCAAGCUGAAGACUUUACCAGACAAGCUGAGAGGUGGUGCAUGGCCGUCGCCAGCUCGUGCCGUGAGAUGUCCUGUUAAGUCAGGUAACGAGCGAGAUCCCUGCCUCUAGUUGCCACCAUUACUCUCAGGAGUAGUGGGGCGAAUUAGCGGGACCGCCGCAGUUAAUGCGGAGGAAGGAAGGGGCCACGGCAGGUCAGUAUGCCCCGAAACUCUGGGGCCACACGCGGGCUGCAAUGGUAAUGACAAUAGGUUCCGAAUCCGAAAGGAUGAGGUAAUCCCUAAACAUUACCACAGUUAUGACUGAGGGCUGCAACUCGCCCUCACGAAUAUGGAAUCCCUAGUAAUCGCGCGUCAUCAUCGCGCGGUGAAUACGUCCCUGCUCCUUGCACACACCGCCCGU